UUUUAUAACUUUUUACAAUUUUAAGCUUUUUACAAUUUGAAGCCCAAAAUGUUGGGCUUUUAAAGAGUAAGCCCACCAUUUAAAGGGUAAGCCCACCCUUUUUUCAUAAAAAAAAAAAAAAGGGUUACAAUUGGCAAUUGCAACCAGCCAGCCCGCACAAGCACAGGCAGCCCACUUGUUUCAAUUUCAUCACAAUAUCACAGAUUCACAAUACCACACCUAUUUCAAUUUUCAUACCAAGAAAGCAACAACUAACAAGUUAAGCUUAAGUUCACAAUUUGUCUAACAAACUAGUUAAUUAAAAGUGCAUGCAACCAAAAUGAAAUAAGUUAAAUUUUACAAACCAAACUUCCGAAUGAAUUUAGAUUAAAUUACAAACCAAAAGCAAAACAUAGUUUAUAAGCAAGAAAGUGCAUGCAACCAAAACAUAGUUUAUAAACGUAGUUCAUUUCCUUUAGCCCCUUCGGCCUCUUCCCCUUGUUGAUGAAUGACCCGUUGACGUUGGUGUUAAUGGUGGUGGUGGACCCCUUCCUCUUGUUGAUAAUUGAACCCUCCUUUGUGUUGGAUUAGAUGCUCUUGAAAUAGGUGGUCGUGGUCGUGGAGGUAAUGAUGGGCGGCGUUGAACUUGAGGUGGUGGAGGAGGUGGCAUUUCACCUUGUGAGGAGAAUCCUGAUCCUGAUCCCGUCCCGCGAACACAGAGAAUUAUAAUUUUCCGUUUUCUUCUAAAUGCAUCAGCACAGGCAUUAAAUGAACAAAGAUUUUAAAUGAUUUUGAUUUUCUUCUUCUGAUCAAGACUAUCCAGAGGAACAAAGUGUCUUUUGAACUAAGAUGAAAACGGUGCUCAAUUAUGAUACGAAAAGGUACUUAAUGGUCACCACCUAUGCAGAUGCAAUGAGAGAAUAGAUGCGUGGAGGAGAUAAAUUCAGAACAGAGUAAAAACAAGUUAUGAGCAUGUGUAUGAAGUAUGUACUAAACAAGAAAGCCAAAAAGGAUGCAUAAUCCUUCAAAGAACAAAAUAGAUACCGUAUUACAUGAAUACUAAAACUUAACAGCUCAAUACCAAUACAAUAUAUCAGUUCAAAUAAAUACACUGCGGAACACCUAAAAUUCCCAGAAUAAGUUUUCUACGACGCGAAUCAACCUCCAUUUCCAGAUCAAUACAGGUUCCACACGAACCUAUAAAUAUGGAUACUUGAAAAUCAACGCAAUCCUACCCGCUUCUCAGAAAUAAGUUCCCUAAAGAAGUGCUUUCAGUAAAUAUACACUUCCUCAAAGCACAAGUCAACUCUCACUACGCCUAUCUCAGUUCAUCCACUGCUGUAAAUUGUCUGAUCCAGAUUCCGAAUGGUUUUGAGUGAGAGGUGUAUCAAUUCAACUGCUAAACUAAAUCCCUUUUUGCAGAUCCAAAAGCCAAACUCCGUGUAUCACAAAUUUCAAUCGACCAAUCUAAAACAAAUAAUAUACUUAAUCCUUCAGUAAAAUCGAAGUCCAAAUCAACAAUACGGUCCCAAUAGCUUCAAAAUGUGCAUCCAAAUUCCAGAUAAACCCACAUAGGGUUUCAAACUUUAACCAACCGAGAUUCGACAAACCGAAAAUUACCAAUACCCAGAUACAAAAACAUGGAAAUUAGCAAAAAUAAGCAAACCCAGAUAGCCACAAGUUGAACAACUAGGGAUUAUAUCAAAAUUAGAAAAAGUACAAAGUUUGGAUACAGAGAGUGUAGGGAUUAUGAGUGAGAACUGGAGUACCUGAAAAAGCGGGACUGAAGAAUGAUGAG
rnacentral:lncRNA from 1 species